CGGAACCCGAACGGAAGCGGGCUCGCACCGACGAGGUGCCUGCCGGAGGAAGCCGCUCCGAGACGGAGGAUGAGGACGACGAGGACUACGUGCCCUAUGUGCCGUUACGGCAGCGCCGGCAGCUACUGCUCCAGAAGCUGCUGCAGCGAAGACGCAAGGGAGCUGCGGAGGAAGAGCAGCAGGACAGCGGUAGUGAACCCCGGGGAGACGAGGACGACAUCCCGCUAGGCCCUCAGUCCAACGUCAGCCUCCUGGAUCAGCACCAGCACCUUAAAGAGAAGGCUGAAGCCCGCAAAGAGUCUGCCAAGGAGAAGCAGCUGAAGGAAGAAGAGAAGAUCCUGGAGAGUGUGGCCGAGGGCCGAGGUAUGGUUGUAGCCAGGAUAGUGAGAAGGUGGACUGAGUCUCCUCCUCCCAGGCCCAGGCAUGUUAUAUCUCAAGGGAUCUGGCUUCUCAGAAGCAGGAGCCAGCCCUGAACCAUGUCUUUCUUCUCAGCAUUGAUGUCAGUGAAGGAGAUGGCUAAGGGCAUUACGUAUGAUGACCCCAUCAAAACCAGCUGGACUCCGCCCCGUUAUGUCCUGAACAUGUCUGAAGAGCGACAUGAGCGCGUGCGGAAGAAAUACCACAUCCUGGUGGAGGGAGACGGUAUCCCACCACCCAUCAAGAGCUUCAAGGAAAUGAAAUUUCCUGCAGCCAUCCUGAGAGGCCUGAAGAAGAAAGGCAUUCACCACCCAACACCCAUUCAGAUCCAGGGCAUCCCCACCAUUCUAUCUGGCCGUGACAUGAUAGGCAUCGCCUUCACGGGUUCAGGCAAGACACUGGUGUUCACGUUGCCUGUCAUCAUGUUCUGCCUGGAACAAGAGAAGAGGUUACCUUUCUCAAAGCGCGAAGGGCCCUAUGGACUCAU
rnacentral:sRNA from 1 species